UCUGCCUGCCUCCAUUGACCCUGUGAAGGUACAGUGUCUCAAGAAGACCCUACUGGCCUAUGAACCUCUUCUAAGGAAACAGUCUACCCAGGAGGCAGCUCCAGCAACUAUAAGAUCGGGAGUGUCCCACUGCAGCUCAGGAGAACAAAGCGCUUGUAUCCUUUCCCACGAGGCUAAAGAGAACUGUUAACCAGGCCAGAGGUCAGCCUCGGAUCGGAAUGUGCACCUGCUCCUGUCCAUCAGGAGGAAAGCGUGGUGUGACGACCACGGGAUGUUGAGCUUCAGACAAGGAACUCCAGACGCCUGUGGCAGUGUCAUUUUGGAUCCCUAACAGGAAGCCCUAACCCGAGGAUCUACAAGAGAUGCUAGAGACUCAUCCCAGACAGGGCACCAACAACAGGCCAAGAAAAUGAUUCCACCUGUCUAGCUAAGUAAACCAGUGAGUAUAAUUAGGGUUACUAAUAGGACUAUGGGUCAGGGUUACUUAUAGAAGAAUGGGCGACUCAGGGGAGGGAUACCA